CCAGCAGACCCUCCCUCCCAGACCCUCCUACUUCCUGGACAGCAUCCAUGACAUGACGAUGCUGUCCAGGAAGUAGGAGGGUCUGGGAGGGAGGGUCUGCUGGAGAU
rnacentral:miRNA from 1 species